UAUCCCCUCGGAUACGAGGUGUGGGCGGCGACGAGGGAGAUGUGGGCAUGUUGGUGGCGUCGACGAGAGGCGUGGGCGGGAACGGAUGGACGGCUGCAUGGCCCUUCUCUCUCCUGUGGUGCUCUUUCUCUGUCCCCUCUCCCCGUCGUCUCUGGAGCUGGACGCGGCGGCCGGGAAUGAAGCCGCCGCCUCUACCCUGUGCGCGCGACCGAGGUUACCGCUCGCAGUACCUCCACAAGCUGCUUUACAGAAAUUCUCCGGUUCCGCACACGAUACGAUCGAUUCAGCACCGCAUAUACGUAGCAGUAAUAAGUGUGAUCCGCAUAUACGUAGCAGCACCUACUUAACUUAAACUACCUUACAAAUGUGGUGCUGCUGCUGCUGUCCCAGAAUAACCUGCUAAACCGAGGAGUUUGUUCUCCUGGUGAUGGCAUGAGUUUGUGCGUAUACCGUAGGAGUUUGGUAGGUCCUUUCUCGUGUGAAUACGCUCGGGAAUGUCCCUUCGAACUGUUUUCGGAGUUCCAUAGACCGUCGUAGUGUAUAACACCAGUAUGAAAAAGGCUCAAGAUGGGAGUCUCCUGGUCACGCAUACAGUCAGUCAUACUAGAGGUGUUACGUCUCUACUGACAUUCUCUCUGUAAUCUAAAGAGGUCCGCUACGAACCCAUAGCCACGGUCUAUACUGUACGAACGCCUCGAGUGACGUUCCCUCGUGCUCCGUCCGUAUUUAGGUCUAGGACUCUAGCUACGAAUGUACUUUCGAUGACGUCACGUUCCUGUACUCUGAUUAUAAUAUUGGCUAGAAUGAGACUUCCACGAACCCGAACUGUAAACGCGGCUAUUGUAGCAGCCACUACUCUACUGGUCUCCUUAAAGACCUCCCGUUUUCUUCGCACAGUGUUGACCCCUCUACAAUUGUCCUGGACGUUCCCGAAACAAGUACCUACUUUAAAGGUGACCAAACCUAUCGAGAUCGUGUAAAGUCUAACAUUUUAUACAUUCGGUUAACCAGGUACACUACUUACUGUGACACUACUAGAGGGAAGAUGUUGGUGGCGGUCUCUGGAUGUUGAACAAACUACUGUAUUAAGAGGAUAGUCUUCCUAUGUACCACAUGGUACCCGGUGCGCCCUUGUAGAACCUUAAAAAACUUAGGCGACCAAAGGCCACGGGCCUCUCCUUUCCUCAACGACUGAAGGAAGUUCUCCAGUGAAGGUUCUUUCUGGUCGUUGUUAUGACCAUAGAACUGGUCCUCGUCAUAGCAAUACACGGUCAGGAUCUCAAACGACUUGUAAUGUUCAGUAAGGUACACCCAGUCGUUUACGACCUCCUCGACUUCUAAGGAAAACUUUUUAGGUUUUGGGUAGGACGGCGCAACUGGUGCAGCUUCAUACCCGUUAGGUCGACCCUCAGUAAGUUCCGUCACUACAGCUCUCUUGUUGAUAACUACUUCGCGUUGAGGAAGUAGAUGUAGAAGUUCCAGUCGGUCAACUAGUAGGAACCCGAGUACCGGUACUGACAUAAGGAGUCUUGUCUCUACGGGGUACCUGUCUAAAGCCUGCCACGAUUUAAGAAACCUCGAGACUGAAAGUCAAAUUAGUGGUAAAACAAAUUACCCAAACGACUCGAUGUUGAUUGGUAAUUCUAGGAAGGAUGCAAGAUGUUCGUUUCCCUAAAGAACAAGAAGGGGGGUACCUGGAAACCUGACCGUUUGUAGUAGAACUUUCAAGGACAAAGUAAACACCUCCGACCCCACACCCAACAGGAGUGCAUGAUACACUACCCGAAACGUGGAAGACGUCCUUCCAAGAAAGCGGUCAAAAAUCGAAAGAAGCGAUGAGUGGUUUACCGUUACCGAAACAAGGCUAAAGAACCACGAUAAAACUUUAGUUACCAACAACGGUUGUGAAAACCCUACAAACAAGUUGAAUAAUAAAAGUAUAAACCUCCUAAAUAGUAGGGAUCUCCACUGUAGUCUGGUACCACCUAGACCCGAAUGACCCGUAGAGGAUACUACAUAUCAGUCUUACGUUAUAGCCAGUUACUUAAGGAACGGUCAUCCACCCGGUGAGGUUUGUUACUAGGAUGAUAACUACGUGGUUGCCAUCCUUUCCGAUAAGAAUUUAGGUCUCUGAACAAAUGACCUCUGACCCCGAAAACCGAAAGGUAUCCUCGGCAAUAUCCUAAGUGAUAAAACAAGUUGUAGAAUAUGGAAGACCGGGAUUGUAUGAACUCGGGAUCGCCAUCUAGUUUGUGUAAUCAAAGUCUACUCCUCUUACUCUUACCGUGUUUGUUUCUCGUUUACAGUCUUCGGUCACACAGUAGAUGAUACGGUAGAAGUUAUGGAUACCAAAGAUGUCCACGGUUCCUUCGGUGUUUAUCCGGUUGAGUCAGUGCUUGAUGGAACGGAAAGGUCGGAGAAAGUGAAAGGAAGUUGGUAUAUUUGAUAACCCACCUAUACGGACGCCUUUACUUCCUUGUUCCUAAGUGUCUUUCAGCAGAGGUCAACGAGAGACUAUAGUCACCACGUAAAUCCGGUCCUCAAGACUGACGUGAUCAACCACACUCACCUCGACCCUUCUGGUGAGAUUACCUACAGGACCGUCCUUCCUUUUGGUCACCUCGAUAACUUCCUUCAUAGUGGGAGAGGCCAAUGGGAUUUUUCGUUCUUUGAAAACGGGCGUAAUCACCGAUAACACUUGUCUAACUAUAGGUAAGUGGUUUACAAUGUCAUAUACUUAGGUAAGACAUGAGACGGACCGACGCAGAAAGGAGUCUAUAACUACUGCGAUGCUCUUUCUACAAACACCUCCUUCAGUACUGGGAACAUCUUGAACUACACGACGCAUUACGAUACCAACCAGAGGGACCUCAACUGCCCAAUAGCUGACUUGUUUCUUUCUCUGACUGUUAACGACACCUCGAUCAUCGUUUAGGAAGUUAAUAUAAAUACCUACUCGGUUGAAGACCAGAACUACGAUCUCGGCGUCGUUAACAGUACUCCUGUCACUCUUUAUGUCAGUUGUGACCCGCAUGGCACCAAACGUGCUAGGUAGUUGGUUCGUAACUAUAUAAACUCAGAAAACUACUCGAAGACGAAAACUUUUCUCCUCCCGCCCAAUAAAUACGACCACUUGAACCAGCAGUGACACUCUUUGAUCAACUUAUAAAGCUCCUUUAAGGUCCACACCGAUUCUAGUGUUUUCCUAUAUUAGGACGUUGUACCUACGACCUUCAAUCGAGGUGAAAUCGACUCCGAGUGAACUUGUAUUUAAAACGCCUUUAAAUACGAUUAAGGUAAGAAGUAUCCUUUUUGGUUCUGGAAUAAUUCCUUAACCCGCAAGGGGGAGGUCCGAUAGUCCUAGAGAGUAAAGGAUGUUUCAUAAGAGUUUUAAAGAUGUUGGUUACACAACGUUUGAAGACCUUCGUUAUGUUUAGAAUAACCUUCUUAGGUGGGAUGUUACGGUACGCGAUAGAAUACUGCAACGAGCUACCAGAACAUAAACCGUGACACAAAACCGUUUUUCCUUGUUUUUAUCUUAGCGUUGUUCUGAACAUGUUAGAUGAACCCCGGUGAAUACGACGACAGAAGAAGGAACCCCGAUGGUUAACGAAGUGGCAAGUCGGACAACACAGUUAACUCUCUUGUCAAAAGAUGGCACUUUUCCGCCGUCCCUACAUGAGAGGUAAUAGGAUACGUAAUCGAGUCCGUACGUACCUCUAGUAGAUGUUGUAGGAGGUUCCCUACAAUAUGUGUUAGGAGUAGAUACACUACUAACCUAUACUGACCUUUCAACUGUUCAAGAAGAUAAAGUACAAGAAGUAAUAACGUUCGAAGUUGAUGAAGUGUAACAAGCCGUACUACAACCAUAGUAACUGAGGCAGACGUUACGAACGUUCGUAUGAGCAUAGGAAACAUGAGGGAGAGACCUUGGACAAACGACCCAAGGAGCAACAGUCUUGUCGCUAUGGCUAAACCACCUCCACCAUGAUGACCCGGUUGGGUCACAGAACCUGGUAGAUACCACAACAACGUAGCGUCAAACCACUGGUACCGCCAAGAGACGAUCAGGGGCCACCCUCGGGAUACCACCACUUCGUUAAGAACCUCCUAUUAAACCCGCACGCCGUACUAAAGGAACCGAUACAACAGGAUCGGGUGAAACGAAUGUAGUAACGGUAGAAGAAGCAGAAGCCGAUGAGGUAGUUCAAGAAUUUGAAGGUUUUUGCAAUCCGUCACACGUCAGGCAAAACCGCGUUACUUCACUACACAUAUAUACAUAUCAUGUUCGUCAUCCCAAGUCUCUGAGAUGUAUUUGAGGUAACAAUAUAUUAGCUCUCAACCAUCACUAUAUGGACUAAGAUGAUAAUGUUAUAAUUUAUUUAAUUUGUUUAUAUCUUUUCAAGAAAAACCA
rnacentral:rRNA from 1 species